rnacentral:rRNA from 1 species
GACGAACGCUGGCGGCGUGCUUAACACAUGCAAGUCGAACGGAAAGGCCCUGCUUUUGUGGGGUGCUCGAGUGGCGAACGGGUGAGUAACACGUGAGUAACCUGCCCUUGACUUUGGGAUAACUUCAGGAAACUGGGGCUAAUACCGGAUAGGAGCUCCUGCUGCAUGGUGGGGGUUGGAAAGUUUCGGCGGUUGGGGAUGGACUCGCGGCUUAUUAGCUUGUUGGUGGGGUAGUGGCUUACCAAGGCUUUGACGGGUAGCCGGCCUGAGAGGGUGACCGGCCACAUUGGGACUGAGAUACGGCCCAGACUCCUACGGGAGGCAGCAGUGGGGAAUAUUGCACAAUGGGCGGAAGCCUGAUGCAGCAACGCCGCGUGCGGGAUGACGGCCUUCGGGUUGUAAACCGCUUUCGCCUGUGACGAAGCGUGAGUGACGGUAAUGGGUAAAGAAGCACCGGCUAACUACGU